rfam:Ciona savignyi cont_31259, whole genome shotgun sequence.
GACUCCGUGGCGCAACGGUAGCGCGUCCGACUCCAGAUCGGAAGGUGGUGUUCAAACAUGUCGGCGUCA